CACCAAACAAGACAACACAGUAUCGGGUUCAUCAUAAUACAAACUAUAAUAAAAGAAACCAUGAUUCAUACAUACGAGACCAUAACGUAAUUACAUCAAACAUCAUGCUGCACUUAAUACUGAAAAUUAAAUCAAACAAUAACAGACCAACACUGUAUCAGACUCGGGCUCCAUUGGCAACCUUAAUUAAUUAUGCAUCUAUAAAGUCACACAGUACAGUUUAAUUAUUUAU
rnacentral:lncRNA from 1 species